CCUACGGGAGGCUGCAGUGGGGAAUUUUGGACAAUGGGGGCAACCCUGAUCCAGCCAUGCCGCGUGAGUGAAGAAGGCCUUCGGGUUGUAAAGCUCUUUCAGACGGAAAGAAACGGUCACGGCGAAUACCCGUGACUAAUGACGGUACCGUAAGAAGAAGCACCGGCUAACUACGUGCCAGCAGCCGCGGUAAUACGUAGGGUGCGAGCGUUAAUCGGAGUUACUGGGCGUGAAGUGUUAAGACGCGGGUGAAAUCCCCGGGCUUAACCUGGGAACUGCAGUUGUGACUGCGAGACUAGAGUGUAGCAGAGGGGGGUAGAAUUCCACGUGUAGCAGUGAAAUGCGUAGAGAUGUGGAGGAAUACCGAUGGCGAAGGCAGCCCCCUGGGCUAACACUGACGCUCAUGCACGAAAGCGUGGGGAGCAAACAGGAUUAGAUACCCCGGUAGUC
rnacentral:rRNA from 1 species